AUUGAACGCUGGUGGCAGGCCUAACACAUGCAAGUCGAACGAGUGGCGGACGGGUGAGUAAUGUCUGGGAAACUGCCUGAUGGAGGGGGAUAACUACUGGAAACGGUAGCUAAUACCGCAUACCAUCAGAUGUGCCCAGAUGGGAUAAGCUAGUUGGUGGGGUAACGGCUCACCAAGGCGACGAUCCUUAGCUGGUCUGAGAGGAUGCCCAGAAACAAUGGAACUGAGACACGGUCCAGAAUCCUACGAGAGGCAGAAGUAGGAAAUAUUGCACGAAGGGCGAGAGCCUGCUGCAGCCAGGCCGCAUGUAUGAAGAAGGACAUCGGGUUGUAAAGUACUUUCAGCAAGAAGGCGUUACCCGCAGAAGAAGCACCGGCUAACUCCGUGCCAGCAGCCGCGGUAAUUC
rnacentral:rRNA from 1 species